UUAUUGGUCCCGGGCCUUAAGGCAGAAAU
rnacentral:piRNA from 1 species